CUGACACGAAGUGAGGGGCAGCGAGAGACGCCCACAAGAACACAUACGCCUAUCAAUUUCAAAUGUGCGGAUGCGAGAGGGAAGAAAGCUGCGUCAGUGCCCUUCUGUGCGGGCCCUCCCCGCCAAUGUGCCGCUGUGCGUUGUGCGUUGGCCCUCUUCCUCCCGCCUUUCCCCUUGCCCGCUGCUUUCGACCUGAUGAUAUGCCUAUAUAUAUAGUUGCAUAUAUAUAUAUAUAGUUAUGCGUUUCCGUUUCGCUCGGUGGUGUUAGCGUUUCUCUUCUUAAGCAUGUACUGUUUUCCCUCUCCCCCUCCCCUUAAGUUAUGGCUGCGAUUCGGCGUGGCGUGCGUAGGGCGCUGUGCUGCCCUUGAUGGGGUCUCCCUUUUGGUGCCCGACUCUCUGUCUGCUCUUCUUCGCGUGUACGUUUGCGUAGGCGCCCAGAGAAUGUGAGGGCAUGCGCGUUGCGCUUGAGGGGUGCACGCGCCCGGCGUGUGCGUAUACGUGCGCGCUUGCUUCUGCAUUCGUGUGUCUUUUCGUUCCUUCUCUCUCUUUGGCAGGAUUCAUUUUGCUUCUUUCUCCCUCUCUCCCUCUCGCGCGUGCAUGCUUCUUGCAACCGUUCAUGUACAUUUUAUGUUUUGCCCUACCAUCCCCUCCCUGCUCCCUCUCUUCUACCGCUGCCUUGCGGUUUGCGAGGACGGCGCUCCCUGAAGAUGCUAGUCACACCUUACCGUGGUAUCGUAGCGCAGUACCCCCAUUCUUGGUGUCGGCGGACAGGUCUGGGCUGCCGCUGUGCCGGAAGAGACCUGCGGUCGUGAUGGUCACGUUUGCACCAGUUCACUACGAAUCCUGUCGGUGAUUCGACAAGUAUACGCAUACCCUCUGCUGUUUUUUCCUUUAGCUGCGUUUCAGUGAUGUUGAGCGUAAUCCUGGUCCUGACCUGCGCCGUAUUGCAGUGGCAUUGCAUUGGGCUGAGCGACCCCGAACGGUGCUGGUUAGCCCGGAUCCUUGACAAAACGGUAGUGGAACAAAAGCAGAUAGACUGUGGUUGUGUAUGCAUCUACUUGUUGACUUAUUCGUAGUAGAGUAGACGCGUUGAAGAAUAAACAAGCGGCUCAGGCGUUGAUAGACGAAGAGCCGUUAACCGUGGGCAUCGGCAAUUGGUAGCAGCACGGCGUUUUGCCUUCGGCGCUUUCUUUGCGCCUUUCCAGCACCUUUUGUGUGUGUGUGUGGUUAUUACUGUAUGUACUCUCUUUUCUAGACGGCCGCGUGUAUCAGCAACAACG
rnacentral:misc_RNA from 1 species